AUUAUUUGUUAUUAUGUUUGUCUAUAUUCUAGUUCCGAGAGGGUGGGGAAGACUGGUGUCGGAGGAACUCUACUUACUGAAGCAAAAUACAUCAAUUUAUCACUACACUACCUGGAACAGGUGAUUGUAGCUCUUUCAGAGAAAACACGGCAGCACAUCCCAUACCGGAACUCAAUGAUGACAUCGGUACUUCGGGACAGUCUUGGAGGAAACUGUAUGACAACAAUGAUUGCUACUUGCUCGGUUGAGAAAAAGAAUAUUGAUGAGUCUAUUUCAACCUGUCGGUUCGCUCAACGUGUUGCUAUGAUUAAGAAUGAUGCCCUUCUGAAUGAAGAAAUUGAUCCAAAAUUGGUAAGAG